CGGGAGGCAGCAGUAGGGAAUCUUCCACAAUGGACGAAAGUCUGAUGGAGCAACGCCGCGUGAGUGAUGAAGGUUUUCGGAUCGUAAAACUCUGUUGUUAAAGAAGAACAAGUGUUAGAGUAACUGUUAACACUUUGACGGUAUUUAACCAGAAAGCCACGGCUAACUACGUGCCAGCAGCCGCGGUAAUACGUAGGUGGCAAGCGUUGUCCGGAUUUAUUGGGCGUAAAGCGAGCGCAGGCGGUUUUGUAAGUCUGCUGUGAAAGCCCUCAGCUCAACUGAGGAAGUGCAGUGGAAACUACAAAACUUGAGUACAGAAGAGGAAAGUGGAACUCCAUGUGUAGCGGUGAAAUGCGUAGAUAUAUGGAAGAACACCAGUGGCGAAGGCGGCUUUCUGGUCUGUUACUGACGCUGAGGCUCGAAAGCAUGGGUAGCGAACAGGAUUAGAUACCCUGGUAGUCCAUGCCGUAAACGAUGAAUACUAGGUGUUGGAGGGUUUCCGCCCUUCAGUGCCGCAGCUAACGCAUUAAGUAUUCCGCCUGGGGAGUACGACCGCAAGGUUGAAACUCAAAGGAAUUGACGGGGGCCCGCACAAGUGGUGGAGCAUGUGGUUUAAUUCGAUGCUACGCGAAGAACCUUACCAGCUCUUGACAUCUUCUGCCAACCCAAGAGAUUGGGCGUUCCCUUCGGGGACAGAAUGACAGGUGGUGCAUGGUUGUCGUCAGCUCGUGUCGUGAGAUGUUGGGUUAAGUCCCGCAACGAGCGCAACCCUUAUUAUUAGUUGCCAGCAUUUAGUUGGGCACUCUAGUGAGACUGCCGGUGAUAAACCGGAGGAAGGUGGGGACGACGUCAAAUCAUCAUGCCCCUUAUGAGCUGGGCUACACACGUGCUACAAUGGAUGGUACAACGAGUCGCGAAACCGCGAGGUCAAGCUAAUCUCUUAAAGCCAUUCUCAGUUCGGAUUGCAGGCUGCAACUCGCCUGCAUGAAGUUGGAAUCACUAGUAAUCGUGGAUCAGCAUGCCACGGUGAAUACGUUCCCGGGCCUUGUACACACCNC
rnacentral:rRNA from 2 species